rnacentral:tRNA from 1 species
AAUAGAGAAGUAAAAACAGUUAGUUUCGACCUAAUAAUUAAGAAUUCAAUUUCUUCCUAUUU